rnacentral:rRNA from 1 species
CAGUAGCCGCGGUAAUACGAAGGGUGCAAGCGUUAAUCGGAAUUACUGGGCGUAAAGCGUGCGUAGGCGGUUUGUUAAGACAGAUGUGAAAUCCCCGGGCUCAACCUGGGAACUGCAUUUGUGACUGGCAAGCUAGAGUGUGGCAGAGGGGGGUGGAAUUCCGCGUGUAGCAGUGAAAUGCGUAGGUAUGCGGAGGAACACCGAUGGCGAAGGCAGCCCCCUGGGCCAACACUGACGCUCAUGCACGAAAGCGUGGGGAGCAAACAGGAUUAGAUACCCCUGUAGUCCCUGUCUCUUAUAC